UGAGGGAUUGUCGGAUGAGGAUGAAGUUGUCGUGGAGCGUGCGUCCGGCAAUGAAGGCGUUCUGGUAGCGGCUCACCAGGCUGUCUAACUUCGGGGCUAUGCGCAAUGACAGUACCUUCGCAAAGAGCUUAGCCACAAUAUGGAUCAGGCAAAUCGGCCGGUAGUCGCCAAGCCUGUGGGCGUCGGCGCGCUUCGGCAGGAGGGUUAGCAGCGCUUGGUUGAGCUUGCUGAAACCGCGCCGGCGCAGCGCGUAGAGCAGCUCGAAGACAUCGAGGAUGUCCUGCCUGAUGAUGUUCCAGCAAGCGCGCAGGAACUCCGCGGUGAAGCCGUCCGGCCCUGGCGCCUUAUGCGCGGGCAUGCGCCUGACCGCCUCCCAGAUCUCCUCUGGGCUGAAUGGCGUCUCCAGGCUCGCCAGGUCGACAGGCGUGAUGAGCUGCUCGAGGUCCAGCGUGUGGGCCGGGUCGGGGGCUGUGCCCAGCAGCCCGUCAAAGUGCACGAAUGCCGCCUGGGCCAUCUCCUCAUGCUCGCAGAGCACCUGCCCAUCCACGAGCAGGUUGUGCAUUCCGUUCUUCCGCCGGCGAUACGUGCAUUGCCUGUGAAAGAAGCUCGUGUUCGCAUCUCCGUCCAAGAGAAUGGAUAUGCGAGCGCGCUACCGAGCAAUCGUGCGCUCGAGCGAGGCCAAGCCGAGAUAGGCCAUCUUGAGCUGUUUGCGCAGCCAGUCUUCCGGGGGGAGAGCGUGCGGACCUCCAUCCCCUGGUCGAAGCACGAAAUCAGCUCGCGGGAGAUAGCGAGUUUGUCCAUGAUGUUGCCCGUAGACUUGGCGCUCCAGCUCUUGAGGGCACGACCUGUGGCUUGCAGACGCCUAACCAGCCGACGAAAGGGAUCGGGGUCGGUCACCGAUCCCCAAGCCGUGGCCACCGUAUCGUGAAAGCCGUCGAGGCGCAGCCAAUACUCCUCAAAAUGGAAGCGCUUGUGAGCCGAGGGCAUAGGGGAGCAGUGCAGCAGCAAUGGGCAAUGGUCGGACAUGACGGAUGCCAGGCAGCGGAGGUGACACUCGCCAUGGCUGUCCUCCCAAUCCGCGGUACAGAGGACCUGGUCGAGGUGCACAAGCGUGGGAGGCGAUUGCUCAUUUGACCAUGUGAAGCGACACCCAUUGAGAUAGACCUCCUUCAGGGCGAGGUCGUUGAUGGUGCGACGGAACCUACCCAUCAUGCGAUGGUUCAGGCUACCCGAGCUUUUGUCCGAGGCUCGAUAGAUGAGGUUGAAAUCCCCGCACAGCAUCCACGGGCCUGGGCUGGCGGCGCGAAUGUCGUGCAGCUCCUGCAGGAACAGCAGCUUGUCCUGGUCGCUUUAGGGGCCAUAGACCGUGGUAAGCCACCAAGGGUUGCCACUGGGCGCGCACACCUUCGUUGUCACAGCGUACUGCGUGAACAGGAGGUCGGAGACCGUGACAGCUCGGGUUUUCCAGGCGAGAAGGAUGCCUCCACGCGUGCCAUCGGCCGGGAGGUAAGUGGAACCAUCGAAUUCAGACCCAAGGGUGUCCAGCACAAUAGACGACGAGAUCAAAGCCAUCUUAGUUUCCUGGAGGCACACAAUGGACGCGCGAGUGGUACAGAGAAGCGAACGAAUGGCGCAACGCCUAGCGCGCGAGUUAAGACCCUAACGUUCCACAGAGCAACUUGCAAACCAUGAUCCAUGUGCAGGAGGUCGACUGUUGGCGUUCCGGCGGCACUAGCUCGCGCAGGCCACGGCAUCAUGGGUUGCUGGCGCCAGGCAUGCAGGGAUCUCCCUGUCGACCAGAGCAGCGAUGGCCUGCAAGACCGGCAUCUGAAUCGGGGUGGCAAACAUGUCGUCGUAGGCUUUCAUCUCGGCGGGAGAAAUCGUCUGGUUGAUGCCCACUAUACCGAGGGUGCGCAGAAUCUGCACUUGGGCUCUCCUCUCCGCCCUGGGCGGUGCAGCAGCGGGCGUCGCGGCGGCAGAACGUCCUCGCCUGGGACUGAAGUUGAGAGGUCGUGGUCGUUUCCCAGGAGACGGCAGGGUCGCGUUGAUGUGCUCCGUAGCCGCUGCCAGGAACUCGCCCAACGUCCAGGAUUGGCUCGCGGGCGGCCGCUGCGCGGUCUCCGCAUGGUGAUCGGGGGCGAGGCGAAUCGCCCUGGGAUGGACACGCGAGAGGCGGCAGUGGGGGCGCCACGAUCAUCGCGGCGCUCAGGCCGCUGCAAGAUGGUGAGGGCGAGCGGGCUGGUGCGAGCGAGAGGCACAGCAACCUCGGCUGGUGCGGGUGGGGCAGGUCCAUUAGGAAGCGGCCCAGGCGUGACGGGCCCAGCCACGUGCAGGGGAGUGGGCGAAGGCCCAGCAACCGUGGCAGGUGCAGCGGCAAAGGCAGCCCCGCUUCCCGCCCGUUCCUCGACGUCGCGUGCGUGGGGCCGCGGUGAUCGGUCUAGGCCGCAUGGCAGAUCACGCGCGACAGGGGUGAGCGAGGCGCCGCUUUGCCCCGACCGAGCGGCAGGCAUGGCUGGCGAGGCGGGGGCCACAGGCUGCGAGUCGGGGACCUGGCUGAGGAAGUGGAGAUCCCGACAAGACGAUGGGUCAGCCGUCGCAGGUGCGAUCCCGAUCGCAUCCACCUCGAGCGCGAGGAAAGCGCACGGAUUUGAAUCGCCAGAGGUUCGUGGCCACCGUCAGCCAACCGCAGUCCGCCAGCUGUCCCCGAGCCAGCAACCGCCCUGUCGCCGUCCGUGGAAUGGGCAGGCUGGUGCGUUGGGGCCACCGUCAAAGCCACCUUUGGCAGGUCUUUGCCGCGCCCCUUCUUUCCUUUCCUGACGCGCUAACGAAGGCCUGCGGUGCCCGGCUGACCUGGCCAGGUCAGCAUGCUCAGCCUUGCGGGACGCACAGCCUUCGGCGGCGCCGUCGGGCAUGGCCAGAAUGCCGCCGUGGCGGCGAUCUGCGUGCCAGGCCGGCGCGUCAAUGGCCAUGUCGUCAGCCCAGCCAGGCAGAGCCUCCUCAGUACGCCGACGCUUGCGGCCGCAGCGGCGCGCGCGCCCCGGAGCGGGACCCAGGCCAUGGCCCUGGCCAUUCCUCCCGCCCGUGCUAGCAUCGUCUCCAUCGAGGCCUCCGGUGGCCUGAGGGCCGGCCGGAGCAACCCUGAUCAACUCUGCCUUGGUGAGCGCGAUGGAGAUGGGGAAUGACAGGGUCCUGAUGGUGGGCGCCUCCGUGGGCAAGCGGGAGGGCAGCUGCUCGACGAUUUCCAGGAUCGCGGCGCGCCUGAUCUCGACGGGGUCAUGCGCACGGCCGGAGAGGCGGAAGACGGCCAGGUCGGCGCGGGAGCGCGUGCGGGGGUGCAGCCUUUCGAUCCAGCAGCUCUCGCCCAGCACAUGCUCGGCUGUAGAGAGGUGCCAUGCGUGGGCUGGGAUGCCCCGGAGCUCCAACUCCACGCGGUACCUGAGCUCGUCGGCGCCGGCGUGAGCCAGCUUGCACCAGGGCCGCAGCGAGAGCGCAGAGCGAGACGAGCUGAUGAAGUGCUCGCCGUUGAGCCGACGUAUGGUUGCCAGGGAGAAGAUGGUGAGGAAGUCUUCGGGGUGGUGCGCAUGCACGGCGAGGUCGCCCUCGGCGAGCUCCAGCGAGCUGAGAAGCAGCCCGGCCACCUCGUCCGUGGAAACCCGCGGCCAGUUGCCCGUGAUGGAGGCCACCAUCGCUCGGGCGAGGAUCAGCUCGGCCUCGUCCAUCUCCACCGUUUGCACCAUGAUGACCCGUGCAGGGCCAUCCAGGGGCGGCUGUCGGGCCAGAGCCGGCGUGGGAACCGGGACCGGAGGGGAAGGAGGUGACGGGGGAGCCACCCGACGACGCGCGGCUGGGGGGGGGGAGGCCCUGGCGGCGGCGCCACGAGGGGGCGUGGCUGCGCGGCCUCGUCCACACGUGGGGGCUGUGGCGGCGCAUCGGCGGAGCAUCGGCCACGCAAGCGUGACCGGAGGCGAGGCAGCGUCGGCACCGAAUGUCGUUGGGGUAGUCCCGCACCCGGUGCCGGUGGUUGAGGCAUCGUAAGCAGAGCCCAGCGACCUCCUCCAGGGACAGGCUGCGACGGCGCGGGGGGACGAAGGGCUGGGGAGUCGUCCGGACGCAGGCGUCGGCGACGGUGCCUGCGACGGGGCUGCUGGAAGCCAUCGGCAUCGAGCACGGGUCCGCCCGACACACGGUGCACCUCCGAGCGGGGGCCAAGGCGGUCCUUGACGGCCGGGAGAGCGGCAGGCGCGAGGCGCCCUGGGGCGGCAGCGGCCGGCGAAGCUGCGAUGGGCAGGUAGCGUGCGUGCGACGUCUCUGUACAACCACGUCGAAGACUCGCUCUCCGAGCUGCUCCAGCGCUCCCCGUAGGAAACGCGCUCGCCGAAGAGGGUCGUUCGACGGUCGGCAGGGUCAGCAGCGACGGCGCCCAUGGCGCAAGGCCGGGGGGAGGAGGGGAGCGGGGGCGGCUUGCUGGCAGGGGCGACGGCGGCGGGCGGGGCGGGAGAGCUAGGCUAGGAGGUGGAGGCGGAGCAGGGAGCGGAGGGAGCCAUUAGUGCCCUCUCAAUUGACAACAUAGUAGCAUGCAUAAGUGCAUUAAGCCAUAGAUGAUACUAUUCAUCCUUAAAGUCCAAAAAUUUGUCUUUUUUGUACAGGUCGCAUUUAAAGGUAUUUCAUCCUGAAUUUUUACACACAUAUACAUUUCAUCCUUGUGUAGUUGCAUAUUUCUUUUCAGAAUUUUUUUGAAGUCGAAAAGUUUGAAUUGUGAUUUUUUCAAAAAUAAAGGGCUCCAUGGAGCUCGGUCACCAAAAUGCCUUAGUCUAUGAUGCGCAAUCUGUGUUCUGUUUUCCGGCCUUUUUCCUAGGCUGUGGCAGAAUAUUUGCAUCAUAAGAAUUUCGUUUUUUAGGCAAUCGGAAGCAAUGGUAAAGAUGAUGCAAGUAUGCAACCGAAUCAACUGGGGCUACUGUAACAUGGUGUGAAUGCCCAGUACACAUAAGGGCAAAAGAGACAUUUCAGCCACCUCCUCCCUAUUGCAUAUGCUAGACCAGCCCCAUGGAUCCUCUUCAAAAUGCAAAGCCAAAGUGUGCAAAUGGGUAUGAUGCAUCAUUCCGUUGAGAAUCUACCAAUAUGGUACAUAGGUGCAGAUACACACCUCUAGUCUCCUAGUCUAUCUCGUGUUUGUUCGCUUCCCAGAAGCAAAGCCAAAAAUUAGGGUGACAAAGAGCAAAUGCCACGGAUAUAAAGUGACCUUAGCACUUUUUCCUUUAAAACUUUCAUGUCAAGGACUGACAGGCUUUGUCAAAGGAACUACAUUCCAUGUUCAAUCAUUCUAUAGACAAAACGGAAUGCUUGGUUUUUGGAAAAUAAGGGUUGAUAGGGAAACUCACCUCAUUAUGACGUACAGGAAGCUCGUCGAAUUCUGCAGCAGCUGACAGUAUGUGCACAAAGGCCUGCAAAAAAUAGUCUGGGCUGUUUAAUCUUCUAGCUGUUCCAAAUCAACUGGUGCUACAAGAGCCAAAUAAAGAACUAUGAAUAAGUAAGGCAUCGAUUUUACUUACCUCCAAUGAUGUAUUGGGACCAAUGUUUGACCCAAACAUUGAGACGGUAAGGUAACUAAGGUAAUAUUGAGAAGCUAUUUUCCCCAAAAUUAAAGACUGCACAGAAUGGUCAUCCACUUUUAUGCAUCCACUGUCUUCAAGAUCUUCUAGUGUAGUUUCCACUAACCUGUUUAUACAAAGCAGGAUAGAUAGACUGUCAUGUGAUGUUAAAGCUAGUGGCAGGUCUAUGCUAAAUGAGGUCCUUGUUUAUCACCUCGAGAGAUAAGCAUUCAAGGUAUAUGUUUCAGUAUCUUCCAAUCCGUAGUAAGAUGGAUUAACAACCUGCCAAACAGACAUUGCAAUAGAUGCAUAUAGCCACAUCAAAAUUUCAUAACGAUGUAAUGAAGGACUUCUAUCAAUAGCUUAAGGGUAACAGGUUUAAACCAACGUGAAAAUGUGACAGCUGUAUAUAUCCGACAUAUGUACAUCAAUUGUAAAGUAUUUUGUAUCCAUGUUAGUUAUGGUUUUGACCACAGAGAAAAUUACAGCCUGAAACAGUGAACAUGAAAAAUUGUCCAAUAAAGUACUCCCUCCGUCCCAAAAUAAGUGUUGCUGCUUUAGUACAAAAUUUGUACUAACUUAGUAUUAAAUUUGCGACACUUAUUUCGGGACGAGGGAGUAUAAGUUAAAAGAACAUAGUUAGGAAAGAGAACAAGAUAAAUACCAGUCUGCGAUAUAGAUAAGUCCAAGUAAGAUAGAUAAUUGCCUCCUCUUUAUUACCAAUUGUGCUCGAAACAAUCUCUGCAUUUAUGUGAUCGUGCAAGUGCUCCCUCAGAUUACUUUCAACAGGGAACGGUUCAUACAAGAACUGAAACAAUUACAAUAAUGAGUGUUAAACCCAAGAUGAAUAAGCAUCGGACUGUUCGUUAGGUAGACAAAGUAACAUGCUACCUUCUUAUAAAAGCUCUUUUUUGGUUCAUGAACAAGAAUAACAGCUUUGCCAUGUCGGUCAUAUUGUGGCCGACCUGCACGACCCAUCAUUUGUAGAAUAUCUGUGAUAACAUAAUCAACAUAUCUUUUUGUUUUCCCAUCAUAGUAUUCAGUGCCCUACAAAAGAAUGGAGUGAGUGCUCACAUAAAUGUCGUCAAAGAUGAAGAAAAUGUGAAGCAUCAUGUCACCUUGAUUAUGACCAGGUGAGCUGGAAGAUUGACACCCCAAGCCAGUGUGCUAGUGCAUACCAGUACCUGCCAAAACAAUAAAUUAUGCUUACACUUUGCUCAACUAUGUGACCAAGUUCAGAUAAAAUAGACUGCAAUAACCAUACUGAAGUGUAACAAAGAACCUGUUAGCAAGAAAUUCAGUUAUCAAAGAAAGCACACCUGAAUCUUGUUGUUUGAAAAGAGUUCCUCAACCAAGGACCUAUCUCUAUCAUUUAGACCUGCAUGAUGCAGACCUAUUCCAAACUGAAGUGUAUGUCUCAAAUUGCUAUCAGUGACUUGUGAAAGAAUCAUGUCUAGAGAGUUAUCUGCCAUGCUGAGGAACUGUGUUGGUUUCUCAUCAGAUGCUGCAAGCUGCAAUAUAGAGUACAACACAUGUAAGAUAGUAGCCAGCUAUAUACUUUCUUAGUGACAGAAAAACAGAGCAGCAUUCUACCUGAAUGAGAUCAAGAGCUGUAAGUCUCGUCUGUCGACGUGAUGACACAAAAAUGAGAACUGGUUUAUCAGGUGAAUGAGUACAUAUGGCUGCAUAUGCUGGUUUGUUCAUGCUAUUCAUUCUCGGGCAGUAGAAUUUCCCAGGAUAUCCCUGUUUGUGGAAAAAAAGGUGAUACAAAUUUAUGAUGUAAACUGUGAAGCCUCUUUUAAGCUGUGAUAUAUCAAAACAUGUAACGUUCAAAUAAAUAAUUGCUAUCCACAAAUGGGGAACCGGAAAUAUUUUCUCUCCUCGAGGUAACACAAAACUGAAGAUUACCUUGCCUAAAUAUCUGCUUGCGGGUUAAAAAAAGUGCCAUCCAAGAAUGCACAAGAACUAAUAAAUGAAUAUAUUUCUUAAAAUACAACUUCAAAAAAGAAUGGUUGUGUGUAUCUUUUUGCCUAAAGCCACCAUGAUGAGGGAAGGUGACUCUACUGGAGAAUAUGGGCAGUUGUUAUUGAACCAAACAAGGAACUUACAGAACAACUGAAAUCCUCCUUACCUGAAUAUGCACUUCAAGAGGUACAGGUCUCACGCUGGGCUUGAAAUUAAACAGACCAUCAUCUCUGACGCCCAACCAAUCGGCCAAGUCACUGAAGUAUUAUGGUAGAUGCAGGUGGUCAGCCCACACAGAAAGUGACCCAGUGAUCAUAUAAAUAUACACAUUACGAAAAAUAAACACUGACAAGCCUAAUUCUGCGCUGAUGCUGGGCCCACAUGCUCAAAGGUGAAGAAAAGAAUAUACGUGCAUAACAUGCUCGAAAGUGGAAAAAGAACAUAGAUGUACAUACCAUAGAAGUAUGUGUACUAGCAACAUUCAUGCAACAACAUGAUUUUUUGUGUUAUCUAACUGUACUAGUCAUUCAUCGUGUAGAGCUUGUAAAUGGACAUGCUUUUGUACGAUUUUUUUUGCUCAUACACUUGUUUUUGCACGAUACAUAUCAGUAAAAAAAUGAGAAACAACACUUUCAAGUUAUUGAGAGCACCAAAUCCGUGUCCUACAUGAUAAUACCUAUGAUUGUCAAAUACAUUGAGCAUACUCCUAGCAUCCAUGUCAUAGGAUUUAUUCUUAAAAUAUGUGUACACUUAAUUGAAUCCAUUGAUCAGGACCCCCAACAACCAGGGGAGCCACUGGUCAAAUACGAUUUACCACUGGUGCAUGUAUGAUGACAUGACAUUGUUGCUGCAGUUCAUACGCGGGAAGAACUCAUAAAACACAUAGAUAGUUCUAUAAAAUUACAGAGUAGAUAAGGAUAUUCUGAUGUAAUAGCGGGUAGAGAGAAAUACAAGCCGAAGUAUCCCUUUGAAACAUACCGAGCAUUGGCUAAUGCUGUUGAUAAACCAACAAACCGAAUUGAACGCUCCGUUUGUGAUGAUAUGUAUCGCAUUCUUGAUACGAUGACCUGAAAUCAGAAGUUUCACCAUUGUAAACAAUUGAGUACAUCCUCAAAGAAGGAUAAACACAACAGAACAUAUGGUAUUGAGAUGAAUCAAUGUAAAAGACGAUAAGUUGUACAAUGUUGAGUUAUGGUAGUACAAAGUAAAUGAAGUUACUUCAGAGGCCAUACAAGGCUGAGUUCAUAGGCAGCCUACAUUGUAAUUUAGUACAAGCAUUUAUCAAGUUGUGCGUAUGGAAGGGUUACCUCAAGAAUAGGCCCACGGUCAGCUCCAAGAAGAUGUAUCUCAUCUAAUAUCAUGAGUCCAACCUAUCAGCAAGCUAACAAGUCAUUACCAACUUAAAAUAAAAUUAUAUACUCCAUAUAAUUUACAGAAACAGAGCAAAACAGAUAUUAGCCAACAUAGAAAUAAAAAAAUUAGACCUUCAUAACAUAACUUCUACUGUGCCAACUGCGACUAAUCCCAUCCCAUUUUUCGGGGGUCGAAAUUAUGAUAUCAGCUGAUAAUAGGGCCACCAUGUCUGGUGUAAAAUCACCAGUCAUUUCAACCUGCCAAAAGCAUCACUUCAAUUACAUUAAGCCCAAUAAUGUAUUGAUGGCGGAAAAGAAGACAGAAUGCUACAAACCAUCUUCUUCCCAAGCUGAGUUACAAGCCGAUGUCUCCAAUCAUUCAUUCGUUCUCGCACUAUAGCCUUUAGAGGAGCAAUGUAAACUACCUGAAAAGGUGUCAAAACAUAUCAAUGCCAAAAAAUAUCUUGGCUUUAUACAGGAGUUCAAUCAACAAACCUUCAUGUCCGGUUGGGUAUUGAAAAGAUGAAGCAUUGCUAGUUCUGCAGAAAUUGUCUUGCCACUCCCGGUUGGUGCUCCCAAGAGCACAUUGGUUUCAGUGUGAUAAAGAACAUGGAAAGCCUGGAAGACAAAAGCAUCAGGACAAAAAGUAUAUGCAUUAAAGGAAAAGGUACAUUCCCCCACAAAUAAAAGGAAAAGGUACAUUAAGCUGGAAUCCGCCGGCAUAAACAGUGUAUGCACCAGCCGUCAUCCAGCAAAAGGAACAUUUGACAACUUCCUCCAACAGAAACAGAUUGGCAAAUUGCUGUAGGAAUACUGAAUUGAAGUAUCGAAAACAUUUAACUAGAAAGUUAUGUAGUGUAAAUACACUAACAUUAGCAUGCUGAAACAUAGCAUGAAACAGCCAAGAUAAAAGAUAAAUGGAAUCCAAAGUGCACCUGUGUUUGUAUCGGAUUGAAAUGGGUAAAUCUGUACAAAUCUUCGUAUGCUUUGUUGCCAAGAGCGCUCAGUGGAAGAGGCUUCAAGUCCAAAAGUUCAGUGUGUGUUAUUUGUGUCUGCAGGAAACACAUGCAGAAUUCAAGAUUUGACAGUGGAAUGUAAACACUGUGGAACUGACAUAAGAUGUUGCUAAAUUCACCUGAGGCAAGGUAAGAUUAUGAAAAGAGACGGUAAAGAUUGACUCCGCAUGCAACCAGGAGUCUGAUACAGCUCGGAUAUAGUACUGCGGCGGAUGAGGCUCAAAGAUCGGUAUAUUAAAGGACAUCUUUGUAGGUGUACCUCUUGCCAUCUUCUUUGUCAGUGUGAAGAGCUCCGAAUGAUAAAUAGUAUCAUUUUCAGAAUCCUGUAAACAAAUAUUAUUGUUUCUCCCUCCAUUUCAAAAUAUAAGGUGUAUUCAAAUUUUCAAAAGUCAAACAUGUUCAUGUUUGACCAUGUUUUUAAAAAAAAAUACCAAUAUCUACAGUGCCAAAUUUGUAUCAAUAGAUCCAUCAUGAAAAGUAUUUUCAUAAUUUAUUUAUUUUGUAUUGUAGAUGUCGAUAUUUUAUUCUAUAAUCUUGGUCGAGCAUACACAAUGACUUACACACAAAUCGAUACACCUUAUAUUCUGGAACGGAGGGAGUAUAAGCUAAUUCUUUGGCCCUUAUCAAUUGCUGGUACACAACGUCACACAUCUAUACAUGCCUCCAAUAGUAACUAACUUAACACUGAAUGAGACAAAAUUAGAUUGGCACCCAUAAAUGGCAGUUACAGAAUUUGAUUCACUGUACAGUUCUUAAUACAACUGCAUGCACAAUGAACUGAUGUCUUAAGUCCUAAAAUGAUGACGAUGUAUAUAGAUGUAUGUCUAUCUCUGCAGUUACUAGUCUCUAAGCACAGUCAUAUCAGCGGCAUAUUCAAAUAAUCACACCAAACUGUAAGUACACUAACCAUAGUCCAGUACUAUACAUUAGAUAAGUUUUAUCAACUCUGCUACAAUUCUAAAACGAUAUAGUGUCGGGUGCAACAACAUAAUAUGUGUAAAUUAACACACCUCCACAAUAAUCAACCAUCGUUGUGACAUGCCAUGGUGACGAUCCUUCCACACAAAUUCAGGAGUUAUAAGCAGGUCCACCUAUAAAUUAUCAUAGUAAUCGCGUAAGUCAUAAAUAAUGAACUAAUUUGAGGAAAAAAACAUCAGAAUAAUUGAGUUGACAUCGACUCUUACUUUCAGAACAGUCCUGGUGAUUGGACUAACGGAAGCAGAUAAGUUGACAUGUGGGAAGUAACCAACAUACUGCUUAACCAACUUCAGUAGGGAAAAAACAAGUGUUAGCUUCAUCAGGUACAGUCACUAGCUCAAGCUAAUGGAUCUACCAUAUAUGCAUGACUUGUUAAGUCUACACAUACCCUUCCCUGAUGAGAAAAACGAAUGAGGGCUCCAAUGUCAUUUUCCUCCAUUUCAUAAAGACGGUCCAGGUCCACAUUUCUUUCCUCAAGUUUCCACAAUAUCUAGUUCAGAGAGUAUUAGUUAUAUUUGGAAAACGAGAAAAACACAAUAUGGUAAAAAAUAAUGGCCAAUAGCAACCUCAGGAGAAAUGUCCCUAUCGAACUGCCUAAGUGGAUGGAGAUGUGGCCAUAUUUUGCGAUCUACGGCCUUGCAAUAUUCCAGUAAUAAGGAUGUCAUCUCAGACCACCCCCUACGCAGACAAAUCUCAAAUAACGCCCUCAUAAUGCGACCCAAGCUUUGACUAAUGUAUUGGGCAUCAGAGUGUAAGGAGGAGCUGUCAACUGAGGCACGGGAAAUAAAAACCUGAAAAUAGAUCAAAUUCCUCAACUUAGGAAUGUUCCUGGACUCAAACUUAAUGCAAAAAAGUGACAGCUCUUCAACAGUAACCUGUAUGAGAAUUGAAAUUUUCCCAUGCUUGUCAGUCGGUCCACCCUUAACUUCCAAUGGGCAUGCUUUCCUGGCAAGUGUUUCUAAUUCAUCUUGUUCUUCUUCUCUUACUACAAUAUUUUCAAAUUCAGAUGAAUGGGCCACCAUGUUAAUCACCUGAGGUAGGUAUCAAGAAAGGUCAAUAAAACUUCAUGAGCAUCACAAGCUGUGACAAAGAAACCACAAAAGGAGAUGAACCAACUGCCUACCUCACUUUCACUCAUGUGACGACGGAGCAUCUCGUUGUACGUCUCAACACUGGAGUACUGAAGGUAAAAGUGACUUGCAAUUCGACCGAGCUCUGUGCAGUAGAAGUUGCCGCUCUUUUCAUCAUAGCGCAUCAUCUUAGCCUUGUCUAGUGAACGUGCAGCAUCAAUAAUAAAUGACCUUUGCUUGGCACCCAUGGAAGGAUCUCCAAUCACCUUAAUGGUUAUACAAGUUAAAAUGUUGUCACAAUCAAAGAAGUGUUUGAGUACCAACAUGUGCAGUGAAGCACCUCAAAGAGUAAUAAAUUAUCUGUUUCUGACAUGAUACAAAAUGGUUGUUCGUAAGAAUACAGGGACCAUGACUUACUUCUGAAAGCAUUAAUGCGUUAAAAAGAACUAGACAGUGUAACAGAUGUUAAUAGAAUUUUGUACAAGGACUGCUUUUCAGAUAUUUUACUCGGAUGAUAUCAAAAACCACAAUAGAAAAUUUGUCAUCCACUGAAAAGAGUGAUAUUGAUUUACAUAUAAAGUGUGAACAAUGGGAGAAAUAUUACCUCUUCCCAAGUUAUCCCAUACACCAGAGGAUUAGUCUUCAUCCUUCUAAAUAAGUAUGUAUAGCCAAGCCAGGCACAGGCCUCCCUGACAUUUGUUACAGUUCCCAAGGCAACCUCAGCAUUCAAAUUAUCUUUCAACGAUCCAAGGAACUGCAAAAUAAAUGUGGUCAUGAAAAAUUAAGCAUGGACUUGAAAAAACUUGCAGCAAUCAACCAAAUUGCCAAAGGCUACAUUUCAAAAAGAAAAAACUUGCCAAGACUACAAGCAAAUAAGAAACUGACUUUGCAAAUUAGCAAUGUUUAAGGUAUUAGUGACUACUCCCUCCGUCAGGAAUUACUUGUCACAGACAUGGAUGUAUCUAGACGUAUUUUAGUUCUAGAUACAACCAUUUUAUCCAUUUUUGUGACAAGUAAUUCCGGACGGAGGGAGUAUUAACUAGUCCUAAGAAACUACCCUGGUAAGGAAAUUAAUUAGUAUUAGAGCAUCCACAGUGGUCCGUGUACUUGUAUCUAAUGCCAUGACAAACCAAGAUUUUGGUGAGGUGGGGAUGAGGAGGAGAUGCAACUUGCAAGUAUCUUGGAAGAGAUGCAAGGUAGCACACAAAACAAGGGCUUUAUAUACAACAAAAUGUGCACUGAAGAGCUUACCAUACAGACUCAAAGAGAUGGAGAGGGAAGGAGGAAGGGAGGGUUCAUGUGGCCCUUUGCCUUUUGCAAAAUAUCAAGCAAAAUUGCAAUCCGGUGAAAUUUUGCAUUAUCACAAACUCACGAGUUUAUAAGAAUUCUAUGAAAAAGAAUAGCAGAUGUAGGGGAGGGUCCUCUGUAUUUUCAAGGCCAAAAUCAAUCGAAUACGCGGGACAAAUACUAGUCAAAAAAGUGACACUAUUCCAGCAAAGUACUCCUCUUCAUGUCCCACCUAUUUGAUUGAGUUUGACCAUGAAAUUUGCAGAGCUCUAGAAUAUAUCACCCACUAAACCAUGUAAUUUUUCAAGAAAAAUAGAACUUUCAAGGUUUAUUUUUUGGAAUUUUCACCAAAUCACAGUUUCACUGGAUACACCGCCUCUACAACUCAAUCUUCUAACCUAUAACUGGACACAGAAGAAUAUUUGAUUGAUAUCGUUCACAGCUUGUUCUAAUAUCCUAAAUUGUAAAAGGUCACAUGUUUUCUGACCUGGCUUUCUAUUGGAAGCUGACUAGUCAACAAUCUCAAGUAAUAAGCCAAUUUGUCAUGCGUCGUAAUAAUAAUUCCUUCACCACUCUUAUCAAACUGUGGCCUCCCAGCACGUCCAAAGAUCUAAUAAGGAAAUGAAAGAGCAUUAGAAUAUAAUAUUUGAGCAAUAGAGAUGAAGGAAUGCAAAAUCACACAAGUUCAGAGAGGAACCUGCAUCACAUCAAGCAUCCCCAGAUCCCGCCAUCCGCCAGCUUUAGCAUCAUAUAAUUGUGUGCCCUGUUUGUUGGUAAUAUUAAUAUUACUUUAUGCAGCAGGCAAGCAGUGCAAUACAUGGGGGGGGNNNNNNNNNNNNNNNNNNNNNNNNNNNNNNNNNNNNNNNNNNNNNNNNNNNNNNNNNNNNNNNNNNNNNNNNNNNNNNNNNNNNNNNNNNNNNNNNNNNNNNNNNNNNNNNNNNNNNNNNNNNNNNNNNNNNNNNNNNNNNNNNNNNNNNNNNNNNNNNNNNNNNNNNNNNNNNNNNNNNNNNNNNNNNNNNNNNNNNNNNNNNNNNNNNNNNNNNNNNNNNNNNNNNNNNNNNNNNNNNNNNNNNNNNNNNNNNNNNNNNNNNNNNNNNNNNNGGGGGGGGGGGGGGGGGAUUGUAGACAACUGGAAACAUCCCUGGAUCAGCCAAAAAAUGUAUUCAAGAUGGCACAAUCAUAAGAAGGGUAUUGAUCUGCAUCCAUCUAAGCCAACUAAACUAGUAAGUUUUUUUACUAUCACCUUUGCAGAGAUAAUUUGAGUAUGACCUUUCCAAAGAACACUGUUAUCUAUUAAUAGUAUCUAUAUUUACUGAGUUUACUACCUCUAAACAAGUCACUAAACUGAUAGUUUUUUUUUAGUAUGACCUUUUCCAAAUAACACUUUUACCUAUUAACAGUAUCCAUAGUUAGUUAGUUUACUACCCCUAAACAAGUUACUAGACGGAAUUAAAUAAAAUAUAACUAGUGAUACAUAGGCUGACAGUAAUUUAUUUUACCAAUACUUAGUUAAGAAAUAAGUCAUGUAGAUUUCAAGGGAAAUGUUUCUUUGGCAUGAAAAAAACAAAACAAAUAGACACUAACCUUUAUAACAACUGUAUGAGCUGGUAAGUUCACUCCCCAAGCCAAUGUUGCUGUACAAACAAGGACCUAAUCGAAAUAAGUUAGCACAUGACUAAAAUUACUGAAGGUUGCACAGAAACUUACUUUCAAGAGACCAUCAACUUACUUUCAAAAGACCAUCACCAAACAAGUGCUCCAUCAAAUUUCGGUCAGUACGCAUCAUUCCAGCAUUAUGUAUGCCAAAUCCAGCAUCAAAAAAUUCUAUAACUUCACGACUUUUGGCUUUACUGACAUCUUUCUGCAACCAUGAGACUAGGUAAAUAAAAAUUACUAGAUUUAAUACUAAUAAUAAAACCAGAAUGGUAAAGUAUACCUUGAUCAAUCCGUAUUGGGGAUGGUCUGCAUUUGAAAAUAACUCCACCUCCCCUGCUUUAGCAGCUAGGUCAAUCUGCAAGGCAUGACAUAAGAAUGUGCAACUGAAAUCGACUGAAAAAUGAAUACAGAUAUCAAGAAAAAAAGAAACAAGAGGACCUGAACAGUGUAUUAUAAUACUCGACAUAAAUAACACUGUGGAAGCAUAAUAACAUUACAUUCAAAGAACCUACGGAGUAAGGCUUGCUGGAA
rnacentral:lncRNA from 1 species